rnacentral:rRNA from 1 species
UACGUAGGUGGCAAGCGUUGUCCGGAAUUAUUGGGCGUAAAGCGCGCGCAGGUGGUUUCUUAAGUCUGAUGUGAAAGCCCACGGCUCAACCGUGGAGGGUCAUUGGAAACUGGGAAACUUGAGUGCAGGAGAGAAGAGUGGAAUUCCACGUGUAGCGGUGAAAUGCGUAGAGAUGUGGAGGAACACCAGUGGCGAAGGCGACUCUUUGGCCUGUAACUGACACUGAGGCGCGAAAGCGUGGGGAGCGAACAGG